CCGCAUGAUUCGAUCUUUCUUUGAAGUUUGAUUUUGGUUCUGCAGAUAGCAGUCCAUCUCCACUAUGUGCUAUAUUCGGUUCUUUUUCCUACGAUUAGAUUCAACCUUGAGCGGGUCCUACGAGAAAGGUUCGGUACUUCCGUGGAUUGAGGUGUUCCCGUACUCCUAACCCGCUAAUGCACUCUAGAUAUACAUCGAAAAUUUA
rnacentral:lncRNA from 1 species